UACCCGCUGAACUUAAGCAUAUCAAUAAGCGGAGGAAAAGAAACCAACAGGGAUUACCUUAGUAACGGCGAGUGAAGCGGUAAAAGCUCAAAUUUGAAAUCUUCGGAAUUGUAAUUUGACGGGUAGAAUUUGUUUUUUAAAGAAAAGUUCACUGGAAUGUGACGCCACAGAGGGUGAUAGCCCCGUUAACUAAAAGAAACUACUUAAUUCUAUUCCUAAGAGUCGGGUUGUUUGGGAAUGCAGCUCAAAGUGGGUGGUAAAUUCCAUCUAAAGCUAAAUAUUGGCGAGAGACCGAUAGCGAACAAGUACAGUGAUGGAAAGAUGAAAAGAACUUUGAAAAGAGAGUGAAAUAGUACGUGAAAUUGUUGAAAGGGAAGGGAAAGGGGGAGAUAAUUCAAGCUAAUACUUCUGUGUUGCUUGACCACAUC
rnacentral:rRNA from 1 species